rnacentral:rRNA from 1 species
AACGAACGCUGGCGGCAGGCCUAACACAUGCAAGUCGAACGCUGUAGCAAUACAGAGUGGCAGACGGGUGAGUAACGCGUGGGAACAUGCCCUUUGGUUCGGAAUAACUCAGGGAAACUUGAGCUAAUACCGGAUACGCCCCAAGGUUUAGGCGCUUUGGGGGAAAGAUUUAUUGCCGAAGGAUUGGCCCGCGUCCGAUUAGCUAGUUGGUGAGGUAACGGCUCACCAAGGCGACGAUCGGUAGCUGGUCUGAGAGGAUGAUCAGCCACACUGGGACUGAGACACGGCCCAGACUCCUACGGGAGGCAGCAGUGGGGAAUAUUGGACAAUGGGCGCAAGCCUGAUCCAGCCAUGCCGCGUGAGUGAUGAAGGCCCUAGGGUUGUAAAGCUCUUUCGCCAGGGACGAUAAUGACGGUACCUGGAUAAGAAGCCCCGGCUAACUUCGUGCCAGCCGCCGCAGUAACAC